rnacentral:rRNA from 1 species
GAUGAACGCUAGCUACAGGCUUAACACAUGCAAGUCGAGGGGCAUCACAGUGUAGCAAUACACGGGUGGCGACCGGCGCACGGGUGCGUAACACGUAUCCAAUCUGCCCGUUACUCGGGGAUAGCCUUCUGAAAGGAAGAUUAAUACCCGAUGGCAUGUAUUUCCGGCAUCGGAGAUACAUUAAAGAUUAAUCGGUAACGGAUGAGGAUGCGUACGAUUAGCUGGUUGGCGGGGUAACGGACCACCAAGGCGACGAUCGUUAGGGGUUCUGAGGGGAAGGUCCCCCACACUGGAACUGAGACACGGUCCAGACUCCUACGGGAUGCAGCAGUUAUGAAUAUUGGUCAAUGGGCGCGAGCCUGAACCAGCCAAUUAGCGUUAAGGAUGACUGCCCUACGUGUUGUAAACUUCUUUUGUUUGGGAAUAAAUGAUACUACGUGUAGUAUUUUGCAUGUACCUUACGAAUAAGCAUCGGCUAAUUCCGUGCCAGCGGCCGCAGUAACAC